AACGAACGCUGGCGGCAUGCCUAACACAUGCAAGUCGAACGAGACCUUCGGGUCUAGUGGCGCACGGGUGCGUAACACGUGGAAUUUGCCUCGGGUAUGGAAUAACUCAGGGAAACUUGAGCUAAUACCAUAUAAUGUCUUCGGACCAAAGAUUUAUCGCCCUGAGAUAAGCCCGCGUAGGAUUAGCUAGUUGGUGGGUAAAGGCUCACCAAGGCGACGAUCCUUAGCUGGUCUGAGAGGAUGAUCAGCCACACUGGGACUGAGACACGGCCCAGACUCCUACGGAGGCAGCAGUGGGGAAUAUUGGACAAUGGCG
rnacentral:rRNA from 1 species